GCCUGCCCACCCUGGUAUGAGGCCAGGGAGGGGCAACACAGUGGACGGUGUAGUGAUGUAGCAGCUCAUGCUGUGAGAUGACUCCAGUGAGAGGUUGGAUCGUGAUCUUAGUGUGAAGUCUACAUGUCUGCUCUGUAACUAGCCUGGUUUCCUGUCUGCUCCUGUUUUCUAUCUCACCCCAAAGAUACGCUAGAGCUUUAAAUGACUAAUGUGCUACCUCUAGUGUAGGUGGGUGACAGGAGGAUUGACAAUAAUUGAUAAGCAUCCGAGCGUGAACAGUUUUCAGUAAAAGCAGGAGGACUUUGGGAAAAGACUGAUAGCCUAGCUCUGAUUGUGUCCUCUACGUCAUAAGCAAACAUCAUAUUUAAAAAAUGCUAGGAUUUGUGAAGAUGAUCAUUUUAAAAUCAAGAUGCAACUUAACUAGCAGGUACUGGGACCACACGAUAGGCUCCACAGUUGGGACCCUUUCCAGGCUGAAACUCAGAUUGAAAAUACACUAGAGAACUCUACACAACGGCUUCAGGACAUUGGAGUUCACAUCAUCUCGGCCAAUGCUUUGCUGUGUCAGUUUCCCUACAGCUCUUCUCACAUUGCUUAGUAAUGAAGCCAACAGCAUCUGUCCCUUCUGAAGAACAUGCGCUGCAUUUAAAAAAAAACUUGACCAUUUCUCGUUGCACU